rnacentral:ncRNA from 2 species
AAUAGAUUUCGUGGUGAUUUGGCCGGUCGGCUUGCAGCCAC